rnacentral:lncRNA from 10 species
CUGCUUUCUCUGCUCAGGCUCUGGGGUAGGGUACCUGAAGAGAAGAGAAGGUUGGGUGUCAGCACCCCCUGUUGGCUUCCUCAGAUUACAUCGGAGCAUUGUUUCUGCCCUUUUAUGGGGGAAAGAAAUCCUACACAAUUCUCUUCUCUUUGCCCAAGCCAAUGAAAAGGCAGACAGCAUCCUCUGGCUCAAGUGUGACUCCGGAUCUGCCUGGUAUCUCCUGCAGCGGGGAGGCGUCAUGACCUUGCUGGGCUGGUGGCUCCUGGCACCCUCCCAGCCCUGGAUGCGCUGCACAACCCUAAAUAACCCCGCUUCUGCGCCAUCUGACACAGAGAGCAUUUCCCUGAUGAAUUACCUAUGCACAGAUAAUCAAAUAAAUCUUUGUCUUGCUACCUGCAGUCGGGAUGCCCUGAGAAGUUUCACAGGUCACAGCACAGAUCAAAUUAAGGCCCAGAGUCAUGGGUGGGAUGGACAGCCCCAGCCUGACUCUCCGGGGCCACACGGACACACACACAGCCAGUUCUCCAGGCCAGGCUGCAGCUCUGGGGGACACAUCAAUCAUUGAUUCCAGUACCCAGUAGAAAUCAAUUCCAAGGAAGAAAGGACGUGAUUGGGAGCCUGUUGUGGAAGGAAGGCCACACCUCAACCAGACGGUCAAUCCUGAGGAAUAACCACUCUCCGACCUCCACCUGCAUUACAGAGGGAUAAACUGAGGCUCAGAGGGGAACAGUAAUUUUCUCAAGGUGGCAGAGGCAGGCAGUGGAUGCAGAACCUUGGCCUCUGCGAUCUGACCACCAACACAUCAGAGGAAAACCUGCCUGAGAGUGAAACCAGCACAGAAGCAGCAGAACUGAGAAAGGAAGAGACACUUUGUUUAUGAAUCUGUCCAAAGGAAUCCCUUGAACUUUCCAACCAAAUAAACCAGUAGAUUCUGUUUUCUUUUAUGUGAGUUUGGG